rnacentral:sRNA from 1 species
AGCAGCCGCGGUAAUUCCAGCUCCAAUAGCGUAUAUUAAAGUUGUUGCAGUUAAAAAGCUCGUAGUUGAAUUUCGGGAUUAAUUUACUGGUCGUGCUAUUGUACGUACUGGUUUUAUUGAUUCCUCCCUUCUGACGAACUAUGAUGCCAUUAAUUUGGUGUCUUAGGAAAUCAGGACUGUUACUUUGAAAAAUUAGAGUGUUUAAAGCAGGCUCACGCUUGAAUACAUUAGCAUGGAAUAACGGAAUAGGACGUUUGAUUCUAUUUUGUUGGUCUCUAGGAUCGACGUAAUGAUUAAUAGGGAUAGUUGGGGGCAUUAGUAUUCAAUUGUCAGAGGUGAAAUUCUUGGAUUUAUUGAAGACUAACUACUGCGAAAGCAUUUGCCAAGGAUGUUUUCAUUAAUCAAGAACGAAAGUUAGGGGAUCGAAGACGAUCAGAUACCGUCGUAGUCUUAACCAUAAACCAUGCCGACUAGGGAUCGGAUGAUGUUAAUUUUUAAUGACU